CGCCUGUUUAUCAAAAACAUUUCUUAUUUAGUAAUAAGUACUAGGCCCUGCUCAAUGAGUGUUAAAUAGCCGCGGUAAUUUGACUGUGCUAAGGUAGCGUAAUCAUUAGUCUUUUAAUUAAGGUCUGGUAUGAAUGGGUUAACGAUGGAGUAGAGUAAUAAAAUAAUAGGUUGAAGUUGUAGUUUAGGUGAAAAUACCUAGGUUUGUAUAAAGACGGAAAGACCCUAGAAGUUUUAUAAUAGUUAUUUCAUUGGGGCAAUGGUUGAAAUAAGGGUUUUAGUAUGUUGCAAAAAUUACUCUAGGGAUAACAGGACAAUUUAAAAGGUUAGUUCGUAUAUAUUUUUAAGUUUGUUACCUCGAUGUUGGAUCAUCUUAUUUCAGGGUGUGUUUGGAUUAGGGUCUGUUCGACCCGGUAAAGUUACGUGAUCUGAGUUCAAACCGGAG
rnacentral:rRNA from 1 species